rnacentral:rRNA from 1 species
UACGAAGGGGCUAGCGUUGUUCGGAAUUACUGGGCGUAAAGCGCGCGCAGGCGGUCCUUCAAGUCAGAGGUGAAAGCCCAGAGCUCAACUCUGGAAUGGCCUUUGAGACUAGAGGACUUGGGUACGGGAGAGGUGAGUGGAAUUCCGAGUGUAGAGGUGAAAUUCGUAGAUAUUCGGAAGAACACCAGUGGCGAAGGCGGCUCACUGGCCCGUUACCGACGCUCAGGCGCGACAGCGUGGGAGCAACAGG